CCACAGCUACAACCGCUCGGAUUAGAGUACAAAAGACCGGAAUCGGCACUUUAAACUGGCGAGUCUUAGUCUAAAA
rfam:Granulicatella elegans ATCC 700633 genomic scaffold supercont2.1, whole genome shotgun sequence.